rnacentral:rRNA from 2 species
GGCAACGAUGCGUAGCCGACCUGAGAGGGUGAUCGGCCACACUGGAACUGAGACACGGUCCAGACUCCUACGGGAGGCAGCAGUAGGGAAUCUUCCGCAAUGGGCGAAAGCCUGACGGAGCAACGCCGCGUGAGUGAAGAAGGUCUUCGGAUCGUAAAACUCUGUUAUUAGGGAAGAACAAAUGUGUAAGUAACUAUGCACGUCUUGACGGUACCUAAUCAGAAAGCCACGGCUAACUACGUGCCAGCAGCCGCGGUAAUACGUAGGUGGCAAGCGUUAUCCGGAAUUAUUGGGCGUAAAGCGCGCGUAGGCGGUUUUUUAAGUCUGAUGUGAAAGCCCACGGCUCAACCGUGGAGGGUCAUUGGAAACUGGAAAACUUGAGUGCAGAAGAGGAAAGUGGAAUUCCAUGUGUAGCGGUGA